GCUCAUUAACACGUGGAUAAUCUGCCCUUAGGUGGAGGAUAAUCUCGGGAAACUGAGGAUAAUACUCCAUAGAUCUAGGGAUGCUGGAAUGCAUCUAGAUUGAAAGCUCCGGCGCCUAAGGAUGAGUCUGCGGACUAUCAGGUUGUAGUCAGGGUAAAGACCUGACUAGCCUAUGACGGAUACGGGUUGUGAGAGCAAUAACCCGGAGACGAUAUCUGAGACACGAUAUCGGGCCCUACGGGGCGCAGCAGGCGCGAAAACUUCACACUGUGCGAAAGCGCGAUGAGGGAAUCCCAAGUGUUUGCUCGUAAGAGUAAACUGUUUCUUUGUUUAAAACGCAGAGAGAGUAAGGGCUGGGUAAGACGGGUGCCAGCCGCCGCGGUAAUACCUGCAGCUCAAGUGGUGAUCAUUAUUAUUGGGCCUAAAACGUCCGUAGCCGGUUUGGUAAAUGCCUGGGUAAAUCGUGUAGCUUAACUAUACGAAUUCCGGGUAGACUGCCAAACUUGAGACCGGGAGAGGCUAGAGGUACUCCUGGGGUAGAGGUGAAAUCUGUAAUCCUAGGGGGACCACCAGUGGCGGAGGCGUCUAGCUAGAACGGGCCUGACGGUCAGGGACGAAG
rnacentral:rRNA from 1 species